UACGUAGGGUGCAAGCGUUAAUCGGAAUUACUGGGCGUAAAGCGUGCGCAGGCGGCUUUGCAAGACAGAUGUGAAAUCCCCGGGCUCAACCUGGGAACUGCAUCCGAGACUGCAUUGCUAGAGUAUGGGAGAGGGAAGCGGAAUUUCUGGUGUAGCAGUGAAAUGCGUAGAUAUCAGAAGGAACAUCAGUGGCGAAGGCGGCUUCCUGGACCAAUACUGACGAUCAGGUGCGAAAGCGUGGGGAGCAAACAGG
rnacentral:rRNA from 1 species